rnacentral:misc_RNA from 1 species
AUAAUAAAGUGUUGCCAACUGCCGAUAUUCAGCUUUCUACAAAAUUUUUCUUGCAAAUGAUGAUUCACUCAUGGAUAAUCAUAGAAAACGAGGAAAGAUGGAGAGGAAAGCACACUCUCAAUGUUUGGAAUAUUAACCCAAUGUCAAAAGUACAUGUGCUUUGAUGAUGGAAAAUACAAAGAGAUUAUCAAGACUCUUUACCACUGCUAAAAACAUGUGCCAGUAUACCAUACAACAAGAUUUGCAAACAUUAAGGAGAAUGUUUGUCAUCUCAAACAGUCAGCCAGUGGACUUUCCCCAUCUCGAGAUACUUCAUCAAGCAUGUCAAGAAAUCCUUUCUGUGCAGUUCUUUGCAAUGCAGAGACAUUUAAACGAAUCCCAUAAGUAGACGCUGCUUCAAACUUCGUCCACAGCUCCUUUUUCAGAGUAUUCUCACCUGGACGCUUCCCUCUUCUCAUUGUGCUAGCAGGUUCUUUCCAUAUGGGGGUGCUUUCUACCACUGUCAAGCUGCCAUCUUGGUUACAACUUUUCAUGAUUUCAUGACAACCAACUUGAUCAUUGUAUUCUUUUGAUAAACUAUUAUCGUUAGCAACUGUGUCCUGUGAUUUCUCAUCCGGUGGCUCUAAUAGAACACAAGUUUUAGGAGGUGAAAAAAACCAAUUAGGGGAUGCCUCUAACUCUUUCUUUCCCAUCCUGGAUUUGUAAGUCCGUUGUAUCCCCAUGAGCUCUGGAUACUUCAAAGUCAGAUUUUCAGAACCUACACUAUCAGAGAAGGAUUCAGAAAUCUGCGAAUGAAUUCCAACAGGAAAUGGGGUGGACUUCCAAACCACUGCUUUGCCUUUAUGAGAGGACUCAGAAAUAGGUUCAAGCAACACACAAGAUUUUGGAGGAGACAUCUUUAAGCAUGGAGUCAUAACGAUGAUAGAGUGAUCUCUUUUGGAAAAGAUUGGAGAGGAAACACACUCAGAAUCAAGAGUACUUUUUGCUUCAGCCACAACUGAAUCAGAAGGCUUAUUUGGGGUUGGCUUUGUAGCUAUACCUUCAAGCAAAUCAUCAUUUAAAUCUCCGGAAAUUGAUAGAAAUGACGGUAACUCAACAGCAGGAUUUGAAGCAAUCCUUUCAAAUACUGAUUUAGACAAGUCCUGAUGUUUGGAGGCCAACGUUUUUGAUAUCGGAAGAGGUGUGAGCAGAAAGAGUUGUCUACUUCUCUCAAUAUUACAGUCAGCUCGCCAGGACACAAGAGGAGAAGGAGAGAUCAAUGAGUUCAUCCUUGUUUGCUCUGGACUAUCAACCUCAAAGUUUUCAUCUUCAUUUAUGUCAGAAACAAUUUUAUCUGCCGAACACUGCCCCAACCGAGUCUCACUUUUGGAAGCAGGGGUAGAGAAGGCCUUCUCCAAUCUGGGAGCCCAUGUCUUUAAAGAUGAAAGCAUAUCAGACAAGACAUGAGAAAAGGAUUCAAUUUCUCUUCUUCCCUGUUUGCUGGAGGCCUUCAUUUUAAAUGCUUGUGCAACAAGUUCAUCAAUCUGGCGAGUGAUAGAGGAGAGAUCGGAUUGGACAAGCAAGAGGCGAUCGAGAUGAUCUUCUUCUCCUCGGCCGGCUUCCUCUUGCUGAUUCAUGAUAAUACUUUGUUGGUUCUCGAUUUGCUUCCCCGAGAUCCAUUUUUUAUUCACCUUAACAGAUUUCGAGAAUCUUCCUCCUCCUCCACCACCAAUGUCGCCGUUAGUAUGAUUAUUAGAUACGUCCCUCAGUGCUCUCCUCACCGAUUUCGCUUUCCCUUCGUUUCUCGCCAUUCCUCUCGCUAUAUGAACAAUGAUCCUCUGUAUUUGGAUUUGAAUUUGUAAGCAGGCGGGCUUGUCCUCUCUUUUAUCGGACUCGGACAGGCCGAGCAACCGAGUUCAUGAAACGCUAUGCAUUCUGUUCGGGUCGGAUCGAGCGCUAUAAGGCAACCGGCCCAAAUCAGCGUGGCCGAAAGCCACAAAAAAUCCAGCAAUACACUGAACUGAACCCAGACGCAAUCGCUGUCCAAGUACGUAAGUCCCCACUUGCAGGCUGGCGCGUUCACAGAACGAUCCAUCCACAUUGAAAAAUUGAACAAAACUAAUCACAGUUUCGAAGCAGCAACACAGAAGCAAGAAUGGCAAAACAUUUCAAGGAAAUUGAAAUCCCUCGCCAAAAACGCUUCAAUUCCGUUCCUUUCCCUUCGCUUCUCUCUCCAAACACUUCUUUUUCCUUUCCUUCCUCUGUUUCUUCUCUCACUGGCUCCAUAAAAACCGAAAAACCGUACCUUGACUCUUUGCUACGCAAAACUGGAGCGAUUCUCUUCAGAGGCUUUCCCGUAAACACUGCCUCGGACUUCAACAACGUUGUCGAGGCAUUCGGGUUCGAGGAGUUGCCUUACGUCGGUGGGGCUGCUCCUCGGACUAACGUUAUUGGACGGGUCUUCACAGCCAAUGAGUCUCCACCUGAUCAGAAGAUCCCCUUCCAUCAUGAGAUGGCACAGGUGCAGUCUGUAAAUUGAUAAGAGCUUUUGGCUGAAUUAUGGAUGAUGGGUAGUAAGUUAAUUUUAUUUUUCAGGUUCCAGAAUUUCCAUCAAAAUUGUUUUUCUUUUGUGAAGUGGAACCAGGGAGUGGGGGAGAAACUCCUAUAGUUCUUAGCCAUAUCAUCUAUGAAAGAAUGAAAGAGAGGUAUUCAGAUUUCGUUGAACGAUUGGAGGAGCAUGGUUUGAUUUAUAAUCGAGUAUUGGGUGAAGAUGACGAUCCUUCAUCUCCGAUUGGCCGCGGAUGGAAGUCGACGUUUUUGACCAAAGACAAGAGUGUGGCUGCAGAA